rnacentral:rRNA from 1 species
GCGGAGGAAAAGAAACCAACCGGGAUUGCCUCAGUAACGGCGAGUGAAGCGGCAACAGCUCAAAUUUGAAAUCUGGCCCUCGGGUCCGAGUUGUACUUUGCAGAGGAUGCUUUUGGCGAGGCGCUGCCCAAGUCCCCUGGAACGGGGCGCCGGAGAGGGUGAGAGCCCCGUACGGUCGGCGGCCGAGCCUGUGCAAAGCUCCUUCGACGAGUCGAGUAGUUUGGGAAUGCUGCUCUAAGCGGGAGGUAGACCCCUUCUAAAGCUAAAUACCGGCCAGAGACCGAUAGCGCACAAGUAGAGUGAUCGAAAGAUGAAAAGCACUUUGAAAAGAGGGUUAAACAGCACGUGAAAUUGUUGAAAGGGAAGCGCUUGCGACCAGACGUGCGCCGGGGUGCUCCGUGGGCGUUCUCGCCCGCGUACUCGCCCCGGCGCAGGCCAGCGUCGGUUUGGACGGGGGGACAAAGGCGCCUGGGACGUGGCUCCCUCGGGAGUGUUAUAGCCAGGCGUGUCAUGCCCCCGCCCGGACCGAGGUUCGCGUUCUGCAAGGACGCUGGCGUAAUGGUCCCCAACGGCCCG